rnacentral:lncRNA from 1 species
AGCCGAUUGUUGGCUAUAUUAUUAACCAUGCUCUGAGUGGGUGCCGGAGCAGCCAGCUCGCAGUCACGGAUGCUACCUGCCAGCUGCAUUGAGUCAUUGGGUGCCGCCGGAGAAGCAGGAGGUUGCAUUGCGGCCCGCUCGCAGUCACGGCUUCGUGUACGUCAACGCCGGAUUUGGGGAGGAAAGAACGAGGUGUACGGGCGAGACAAAAUGAAAUUACUGGCCGAAUCAUUCUUUUCGAGAUUUGUUGACACUUGCCAAGGUGAAGGUGAAC